UUGAUUUCUAUUCUUUUUAUCUUGUGAGAUCUCAAAGAAAAACCUUUGCUCAAAGAAAUGGGUGGUACACACAAUUCAUGAAGAGGGUCAUAAUUAGAAAGGAUCACAAGAGUUAUAGCUUCAUCUAUAGGAUUGAUCGGGAAGUUGCUGAAAGAAUGAGGAAGAAUGGAUUGAAAUGAGAUAGGACAAGUAAUAAUUUGCAACAUGGAAGUGCAUAUGAAGGACCAUCAGAAAAAUAAUAUAUUUCUGCUACCCUG